ACGCUGGCGGCGUGGAUUAGGCAUGCAAGUCGAACGGUAUCAUCCUUUCGGGGAUGAGAGAGUGGCGAACGGGUGAGUAACACGUAGGUGAUCUACCCUCAAGACGGGGACAACCCAGGGAAACUUGGGCUAAUACCGGAUGUGAGCUAUCGUGAGAUAGUUUGAAAAGGUUGGCUUCGGCUGCCGCUUGAGGAUGAGCCUGCGUCCUAUUAGCUAGUUGGUGAGGUAACGGCUCACCGAGGCAGUGAUAGGUAGGCGGCCUUAACGGGUGGUCGCCCACACUGGGAUUGAGAUACGGCCCAGACUCCUACGGGAGGCAGCAGUCGAGAAUAGUCUACAAUGGUCGAAAGACUGAUAGUGCGACGCCGCGUGAACGAAGAAGCCCUUCGGGGUGUAAAGUUCUUUUAUAUGUGAGCAGUGCUUUCUAUGUGAACAGCAUGGGGAGAGAGAUAUUAGCAUAUGAAUAAGCAACGGCUAACUCCGUG
rnacentral:rRNA from 1 species